GACGAACCGAGCGAACGUUAUUCGGAAUCACUGGGCUUAAAGGGCGCGUAGGCGGGCGGCCAAGUCAGGGGUGAAAGCCCCCAGCUCAACUGGGGAAGUGCCUUUGAUACUGGCCAUCUCGAGGGAGGUAGGGGCGUGCGGAACUUCCGGUGGAGCGGUGAAAUGCGUAGAUAUCGGAAGGAACACCGGUGGCGAAGGCGACUACCUGGCCUGUUCUUGACGCUGAGGCGCGAAAGCUAGGGGAGCAAACGGG
rnacentral:rRNA from 1 species